AUUCAGGGACAGAACUGCUCCCUGUGCUGCUGCUCUGAAGCUCAGAGCAUCCUCGUGUGGCAUAACUGCAGUUGUGGAAUAGUCAGUAACUCCCCUUGCCCCCCCACCACCCAGAAUGAGCAGUUUUGUUUAAUGUAGACAAAAUAAUAAGAAUGGCUGAGCUCACAACGAUGUCGCUGCGCAUCAGAAGGAAAAACCAUCUGUAUGGUCGUGUUAGCAUCCCCGGGGACCUGGCACCACAGAGCAAACCCUCACCCGUGACAAACAGGAUUAGCCCUGCGCCGGAGAGCCUCAGCACAGGGUAGGCACAGUGUUUCCAUGGCAAUUUCAUUGCACUCAGCUGGUUCCAGAUACCCUGCACAGGGCUUGGGGCUCCCUCCCACGGCGUUCCCAUUGGUUUCCUACCCCCCAGUCCCUGCAGUGAGAUGGGUCACGCAGGAUGAACCCAGCUGCACUCUGCAUGCCCUCGCUCUGCAGCACAGCUUUUGUUUUAUUAUUUAUGGAUCACGAACACGCUGUGCCUCUUGGGUUACCUGGUGGUAGCACAGCAGCUCCCACUGCUUUAUAUGCCUCUCUGAGAGUACCAUAUUUCCAGGCAGAUGUCUCAGCCCUAAAGCCAGACGGUAGCACCACCCAUGCCAGGGGAUUGUGUGCUGCCUGGGGAGGUGCCUCUGGGGGCUGAAUGCUAUUUCUAAGCUGAUCUAAAGCAGCUGAAAGGCAGGCAGAGCACAGAGAAUGGGAGCAGGGGACCACUGAUAAUAGGAACCUGUGGCUGUCCUAGCUUUGUGCUUCAUGUUAGCUCUGGGGAAGCCUGACCCUGCGCUCUCCUGCACAGACAGUGUGCUCUCUAGUUUGCUGAAGAACUGAAAUGCCCUAAAGAACUGUAACCAUACAGCUCACAGCUGCUUGAAAACAGCAAAGGGAGAGCCAGGAGCUGCUCUCUUCCUGCAGACACAGUGCCCUGAAGACACACCACAGGUCCAAUUCUGCCCACUGGCAUGCAUCUGAUGCAGCAGCCUUGGGCCAGUAAGCAGAGAAACUCAGGCUCAUCACCUCCUCCCACCCUCAUCUCUUGCCCUACCCCAUAAAAUGCAUUUUACUCAGGCUCUGCUGACUCAGUCUCAGGUGCAGCAGUUCUCACUGAGGCGCACAGGGCAGGAAAGCCACAGCCAGCAUCCCCACUCCUCCUGGUGCCUCCAGUUCUGCUCUGGGGGGAGGCUCUGUCCCAGCUCUCCACCUCCUUCCUAUGAUUUCACUGCAGGGAACUUCAGCACACUAGGGAAGCUGGCUUGGGUCACCGGUCCCCUCGUAUAUCAAAGUUUGUCCUUUCCAAGCCAGACCUGGUUAUUUUUAAGCCUCCUUGCUAGGUAUUAAUAGCACACAUGCGUGCUAUCCUGAGCAGUUCCUUUGGUACUCGGAUGGGAGUCGAGCUGAACUGCCCUUACCUAUGAUCACAGUCCCAGUGGCUGGUUUUACAAUUGCAGUUCUGACAAGUUCACUGCAUCUUAUCACCAGCACGUGCCUACACCUGCAUUCACCCCAGCUCCUCAGCAGGAGGGGGAAAAGGCAAAAAGGAGCAGAGAAAGGGGAGACAGACCUGCAGGGUGCAAAGAGAGCCGGGGCUGCAUCUCCCUUGCAAUUGGUGCUGCAUAGAGAGGAAUCAAUGUCACCCCAAAUCUGGACUCCGUCUGCUGAGGGCUCGUCUGCUAAUUAACUGGGCAGCUUUCAGCACCAGUUUGGGAUUGCUGCAUCUUUAUCUAAAGCAUCUGACUGCUGCCAGGUGUGAGAGGGGCUGUGUCUGGUGUGAGACGAACUGUUAUGCAGCAGAAAUAGAUGUUUGGGUCACUGAGGGUUUAUGAGCUGAAGGGAAAGCCCCAUUCCCACAAUCACCUCAUCACCCACAUCAGCUACAGCUGGGUACCAGACGGGAGGAUAUCACCUCUUCUAUCUUGCUCCAGAGGAAGGUGGGCAGUAAUGAGUAAUUAACAUCACUGCUUGAAACCACACUUUCUAUAGGGUCCUGCCUCCCUGGGGCUGCAGCAUCUGCCCUGGAUCACAGCGUGUUAUGAGAACAGCCAAGGGUGAGGCUC
ensembl:lncRNA